rnacentral:misc_RNA from 1 species
CCAAUAGCGUAUAUUAAUGUUGUUGCAGUUAAAAAGCUCGUAGUUGAACUUCGGGAUCAAUGGGUCGGUCAUGCCGUCGGUAUGUACUGAUUUUAUUGGUUCUCACCUUCUAAGGAACCGUAAUGUCAUUAGUUUGAUGUUGCGGGGAAUUAGGACUGUUACCUUGAAAAAAUUAGAGUGUUUAAAGCAGGCUAACGCUUGAAUACAUUAGCAUGGAAUAAUGAAAUAGGACAUCAGAUUCUAUUUUGUUGGUUUCUAGGAUCGAUGUAAUGAUUAAUAGGGAUAGUUGGGGGCAUUAGUAUUCAAUUGUCAGGGGUGAAAUUCUUGGAUUUAUUGAAGACUAACUACUGCGAAAGCAUUUGCCAAGGAUGUUUUCAUUAAUCAAGAACGAAAGUUAGGGGAUCGAAGACGAUCAGAUACCGUCGUAGUCUUAACCAUAAACUGUGCCGACUAGGGAUCGGAUGAUGUUAAUUUUUUAAUGACUCAUUCGGCACCUUACG